GACGAACGCUGGCGGCGUGCUUAACACAUGCAAGUCGAACGGAAAGGCCCUGCUUUUGUGGGGUGCUCGAGUGGCGAACGGGUGAGUAACACGUGAGUAACCUGCCCUUGACUUUGGGAUAACUUCAGGAAACUGGGGCUAAUACCGGAUAGGAGCUCCUGCUGCAUGGUGGGGGUUGGAAAGUUUCGGCGGUUGGGGAUGGACUCGCGGCUUAUCAGCUUGUUGGUGGGGUAGUGGCUUACCAAGGCUUUGACGGGUAGCCGGCCUGAGAGGGUGACCGGCCACAUUGAGACUGAGAUACGGCCCAGACUCCUACGGGAGGCAGCAGUGGGGAAUAUUGCACAAUGGGCGGAAGCCUGAUGCAGCAACGCCGCGUGCGGGAUGACGGCCUUCGGGUUGUAAACCGCUUUCGCCUGUGACGAAGCGUGAGUGACGGUAAUGGGUAAAGAAGCACCGGCUAACUACGUGCCAGCAGCCGCGGUGAUACGUAGGGUGCGAGCGUUGUCCGGAUUUAUUGGGCGUAAAGGGCUCGUUGGUGGUUGAUCGCGUCGGAAGUGUAAUCUUGGGGCUUAACCCUGAGCGUGCUUUCGAUACGGGUUGACUUGAGGAAGGUAGGGGAGAAUGGAAUUCCUGGUGGAGCGGUGGAAUGCGCAGAUAUCAGGAGGAACACCAGUGGCGAAGGCGGUUCUCUGGGCCUUUCCUGACGCUGAGGAGCGAAAGCGUGGGGAGCGAACAGGCUUAGAUACCCUGGUAGUCCACGCUGUAAACGGUGGGUACUAGGUGUGGGGUCCAUUCCACGGGUUCCGUGCCGUAGCUAACGCUUUAAGUACCCCGCCUGGGGAGUACGGCCGCAAGGCUAAAACUCAAAGGAAUUGACGGGGCCCCGCACAAGCGGCGGAGCAUGCGGAUUAAUUCGAUGCAACGCGUAGAACCUUACCUGGGUUUGACAUGGAUCGGGAGUGCUCAGAGAUGGGUGUGCCUCUUUUGGGGUCGGUUCACAGGUGGUGCAUGCCUGUCGUCAGCUCGUGUCGUGAGAUGUUGGGUUAAGUCCCGCAACGAGCGCAACCCUUGUUCACUGUUGCCAGCACGUUAUGGUGGGGACUCAGUGGAGACCGCCGGGGUCAACUCGGAGGAAGGUGGGGAUGACGUCAAGUCAUCAUGCCCCUUAUGUCCAGGGCUUCACGCAUGCUACAAUGGCUGGUACAGAGAGUGGCGAGCCUGUGAGGGUGAGCGAAUCUCGGAAAGCCGGUCUCAGUUCGGAUUGGGGUCUGCAACUCGACCUCAUGAAGUCGGAGUCGCUAGUAAUCGCAGAUCAGCAACGCUGCGGUGAAUACGUUCCCGGG
rnacentral:rRNA from 1 species